rnacentral:rRNA from 1 species
UACGUAGGGUGCGAGCGUUGUCCGGAAUUACUGGGCGUAAAGAGCUCGUAGGUGGUUUGUCGCGUUGUUCGUGAAAACUCACAGCUUAACUGUGGGCGUGCGGGCGAUACGGGCAGACUGGAGUACUGCAGGGGAGACUGGAAUUCCUGGUGUAGCGGUGGAAUGCGCAGAUAUCAGGAGGAACACCGGUGGCGAAGGCGGAUCUCUGGGCCUUACCUGACGCUGAGACGCGAAAGCUAGGGGAGCGAACAGG